ensembl:lncRNA novel transcript
GUGUCACCUGCCCCCUGAGCGUUCUGGAGCGCCAAGCUUCGCGAUCUUUGCCUUCCGGACUCGCAGACCGGCUCAAAGCCUCCCCUCAGCCUCUGGCUCCGUGAUUGGCAGGCAGCUGACAGAAGAAAAGUUAAAAGGUUAUUUCUGAAGAAGAGUUUCCUUCAGUGCCCUAAAGACCAACUGGAUAGAAGGAGAGCGGAGCAGAGGCUUGGAAGCUUGGAUCCCUCCUCCUGCACUCCCUCCCGGCCCCGACUCCGGAACAAAACAAGCAAACAAUAAAGCAAACUUGUUGCUCUUUUGUCUCAAAGUUUUGUGAUCUAGGAUGUUGGGAAGGAACAAAGAAAUUCAGGCAUCUCUCCUGAGAAGAGAAAGGGAGUAGAAUGCUCCAUCAUGAUGCUAACCACAAGAAUUGACUUGACGGGACAGAAUCAAGGGGAAGAACGUCAGUGAAACUUCUGGUGACAAUCACCCACUUAGGAAAACAUAAAGUUUGGCAACCCUAUAUUGACUCCACCAUGCCUUGGGAAAGGCAGCCCGCAUCAGUGGCAGGAAAUAUUGGUGGAGCGAGCUGGGACUUGCAGGUGACCAAGAAGGGGGAUCCCGGAACCGGAAUUGUCUCCCUUGGCGUUCCGGAAGUAGAAGCAGAGUCAUUGCUGGGUGGCGCCAGCCCUCAGACUUGCCUCUUUGCAGUAGGAAGAAGGCCUCCCCACAUACCUUCCCACACUCAUCACCUUAAGCCAGACUCGGUGUCCAGUGAAUAUGACCAUCUCUUGCCCAUUUUCUAAUGAGUGUUUUCAUUAAUGAGUUAUAAGAAUGUGGUGGGUAAAUCUAUGGGCUUUGAACUAGUGAAUCAACUUGGUUUCAGAAUCUGGCACUGCUACUUACUAGUGAAUUUAAGCAAGUUAUUUCACCUUUCAGAGUGUCAGUUCCCUCAUGCAUACAAGGAAGAUAAAAAAUAAUGUAUACAAAAGUAUUGGAGUAAUUAAUACAUGGAGAACUACAUGUAAAGCGUUUAGCAUGAUGUCUGACAUAUUAAGCAUCCAAUAUUAGUUGCUUGCAGAAUUAUUAGUAAAAGAGAUUGCUUCUGAAAGCCAUUCCAAUUCUUAAAUUUUAUAAUGCCACAUUUGAGGUCACCUGAAGUACGUGUAUAACAUGUGUACAUUUUUGCGAUUUAUUUUUUCAAUUCCCAGAUUAGAGGCAUAGAGAUAUCCUAGCAAGGACUCCAAGUGUGUAGAUCUGUCAAAGAUAUGAACAUGAAAGAACAGCUUAUUUCAAUAAACCCACUUUACA